rnacentral:lncRNA from 1 species
GCCUGCACUCCGGCGUGGCGUCCUACUCGCUGGAGCAGAGCUACCUGCACCAGAACGCCCGCGACGACCUCUCAGUGGGUCUGCCUCGUUACCAACAUCACUCCACGCCAGUGUGUGACAGAAAGGAUUUUGUCCUCAAUUUCAACGGCAUUUCUUCCUUCCACCCCUCGGCCAGCGGGUCUUACUAUCACCAUCACCACCAAAGCAUGUGUCAGGACAUUAAGCCCUGCGUCAUGUGAGUGGAUGGAGGUCGCCCGGAGGCCAGGCCGCCCUCUCUCCUCUCCUUGGCCGAGGGGCAGACAGACCCUGGGGAGGCCGUGGUGACACACUCCCGUAUGUGCACGGGACAGCAGUACAGCAGUAAGUAGCAGCCACUUUGCAGAACCCCAGCAGGGCCUGGCCUCUGCCUCACCUGCCGCUGGAGGAGGGAAGCCCUUGGCGAGGUAAUGCCCCAGCCAGGGGAGAGUGGACCCAAACGAAGGAGGAGGUGGCCAAGCGUAAAACAUAAACUUAUACCUCUGGGAUCUUUGUUGCCUUCCGUAAUCAGGGUCUGAAAAAAGCAGAGAAGCCGUGUAUGUGCGCUUUUCUUUAUCUAUGAAAACUUGUGUGCUUUUGAAAAAGGCAGUGUGCAAAGCACAGGCGUUCAAGAAAGCCUCGGCGUGUUGCCCGGCUAAGUAGGAGAGUGGUUUGCCCCAGACACUCUGUUUGGAUACAGGUGCCACAGAGCACUCUGAAGAACCAAGCAGACCCAGCAUUCUAGCUUAAGAAAGGGUUCUCAGUAUUGUGACAAUACAGUGUUUUUACAAGGUUCUUUUCUACCACCGUAUUCUAAAGAUAUUUUUAUGAUCUUUGUGUAUACUCACACUUUGCUUGUAUUUUAAAAGGAGGAUAUAUUUGCACUUAUGUAUACUUUUACAGUUUGCCAAAAUAUUUUGAUGUAAAAUUUUUUUCAAUAAAAUG